ensembl:lncRNA
UUAUUGUUGGUGGAGCUCACAGUGUUAUUGUAUUAAAAAGAGCCAUCUGUGCCAGAAACAAUGGCUUCAAAUUAUCUCUGAAUACGCAGUGAAAAAAUAUAAAGCUUUCUCCUUUCUCAUUAUGUUUGGUGGGGGGUUUUGUAGACUUGCUAUAAGUGACUUUUGUUGUUCUUGAUGCAUUCUUCUUCUUUUUCAAUCGGCCUCUUUUCAGAUGGUGUGGAGCUGUAGAGGGACUGAGGCGGGUGGGAGCAGCCGCGCAGCGAGCACUCUGAGCGGGCACACGGAGCGAGUGGACGCUGAUGGAUCAUGAGAGCGGCCGCCGGAGGAAAGGGCAGCCGGGAAGAGCGCUCGGUCGCCGGGUGCGCAUGUGAGGAUCCUCCCGGGAGGCAGACGGAACUCUGGAUGUGUCAGUCAAACUGAGUUGGAAACGAGGACUGUGAGCGACACCACAGCGUGUAAGUUUCUUGCCUGUAAAACUCUGCUCUGCUUGGGGAGAUAAAACGGCCCAAAUGAAACGAAGACGCACGUCAAGCAUGGCGGUGAUAAUUGGAUUGUGUGGACACCUGUAUGAGUGCAGUAUAUCCAGGGGAUUAGAGAACGGGAUGGUUCCAGAGUUAUUCCAGCAUUCAAGAUCAGCAGUUUUCAGGGUCGGAGUUGAACCGGUCCUUCCGGACGAAUCAGGCUGAAUGGUUUGGCAACUGGGACCAGCCCAAAACCCACACUCCAACCAUGUCUAUGGAAAACUGCCUUCAGGGUACCACUACUGUUAUUGCACCCCAUUGUAUCAUAGUUAAACCUUAAGGCAGGGAUGUCCAAACUUGAUCCUGGAGGGCCACUG